AUGGUGUGGAGCAUCAAAUAUCACUUGUUCCUAACACAAACUUCUUGAGGUGCUUCAGAUUGAAGCAUUGAAACCUUGCUGAGGUUUAGGUUGAUCUCAACACCAACAAGGUCUUUGUGUGCCUCAGGUUGGUUAUGCUUCAGAGUUUGGAGCUUGACGGCAACAACGACGACAGCGGUGAAGGCACCUUUAAGGGUUUGAAGAAGCUAGCAUCGUUCACGAAGAUGUUAACAUAAUCGAACACGAAUAAUGGCGGUGGGUUCUCUGUGCCAUGGUACUACACGUCGUUCUAAAGCAUAGAGCUUGAUGGUGAUAACAGCGAAGACACCUUAGAGGGUUCAAAGAAGUUGGUGUCAUUUGCAAAGUUGCUGACAUAGUCGGAUGCAAACAAUGGUGAUGGGUUCUCCGUAUCGCAGUAUUGCGCGAAGAUGAUAUUCUUGUGAUGGACUACUUGGACCCUAAACCUUUAGCCCCAAAUCCCUAACAAUUCUUCCUAGUGACUUGAUUUUGACAACGACAACAAACCUUGACUUCGACAACAAUUAUGAUGUUGACACUAACAACUUUGUAACACUCCUCGCCAUUGUUCUCGACUUAGAGCACUGCAUGAAGCUACUAGCAAAGGUGGGUGCGAAUCUGCACAACUAUGAUCGGAGUAACGGCUUCGCGACGUUACACAUGAGUAUAGGUACAUGUGGCAAAUUUGCUUUUAGAUCUUGGCUCAGAUUCGUUAGACAGCCUCGACUUGGAGCACUCCAUGAAGCUGCUAGCAAAGGCUGGUGCAAAUUUGCACCACCACAAACGGAGCGACAACCUCACAGUCAUGAUGACUAGUGCGAGGAAGAUGUUGAAUUACAAAAAAGAAAAGGAUAUUUUUAGUAAUUUUAAAUAAUUUAAAUAAAAACUAUUAUUGUUUACUUAUGCAGCGGUGGACAAUAUGUUAAACUUGUCCAAUGUAGUAAGCGCCUAUGAGUUAUAUAGUUUACUGGAUGUGAAUUUUAA